AACGGGUUGCAAUAAACUGGUGGCUGCGACUGUUUAAUAAAAACACAGCACUCUGCAAACACGAAAGUGGACGUAUAGGGUGUGACGCCUGCCCGGUGCUGGAAGGUUAAGAGGACCGGUUAGUAGUCUUUGACUGCGAAGCUGAGAAUUUAAGCCCCAGUAAACGGCGGUGGUAACUAUAACCAUCCUAAGGUAGCGAAAUUCCUUGUCGGGUAAGUUCCGACCUGCACGAAUGGCGUAACGAUGGGGGCGCUGUCUCUACCCGAGACUCAGUGAAAUUGAAAUCGCCGUGAAGAUGCGGUGUAUCCGCGGCUAGACGGAAAGACCCCGUGAACCUUUACUAUAGCUUCACAGUGAACUUUGAGCAUGUUUGUGUAGGAUAGCUGGGAGGCUUUGAAGUGGGAACGCCAGUUCUCAUGGAGCCAACCUUGAAAUACCAGCCUGACAUGUUUGAGGUUCUAACUUGGUCCCCUUAUCGGGGAUGAGGACACUGUGUGGUGGGUAGUUUGACUGGGGCGGUCUCCUCCCAAAGCGUAACGGAGGAGCACAAAGGUGGGCUAAGCAUGGUCGGACAUCAUGCGGUUAGUGUAAUGGCACAAGCCCGCUUAACUGCGAGACAGACACGUCGAGCAGGUACGAAAGUAGGUCAUAGUGAUCCGGUGGUUCUGUAUGGAAGGGCCAUCGCUCAACGGAUAAAAGGUACUCCGGGGAUAACAGGCUGAUACCGCCCAAGAGUUCACAUCGACGGCGGUGUUUGGCACCUCGAUGUCGGCUCAUCACAUCCUGGGGCUGAAGCCGGUCCCAAGGGUAUGGCUGUUCGCCAUUUAAAGUGGUACGCGAGCUGGGUUUAGAACGUCGUGAGACAGUUCGGUCCCUAUCUGCCGUGGGCGUUGGAAAUUUGAAGGGGGCUGCUCCUAGUACGAGAGGACCGGAGUGGACG
rnacentral:rRNA from 13 species